UGGGGAAUUUUGGACAAUGGGCGCAAGCCUGAUCCAGCCAUGCCGCGUGCGGGAAGAAGGCCUUCGGGUUGUAAACCGCUUUUGUCAGGGAAGAAAUCUUCUGAGUUAAUACCUCGGGAGGAUGACGGUACCUGAAGAAUAAGCACCGGCUAACUACGUGCCAGCAGCCGCGGUAAUACGUAGGGUGCAAGCGUUAAUCGGAAUUACUGGGCGUAAAGCGUGCGCAGGCGGUUUUGUAAGACAGAGGUGAAAUCCCCGGGCUCAACCUGGGAACUGCCUUUGUGACUGCAAGGCUUGAGUGCGGCAGAGGGGGAUGGAAUUCCGCGUGUAGCAGUGAAAUGCGUAGAUAUGCGGAGGAACACCGAUGGCGAAGGCAAUCCCCUGGGCCUGCACUGACGCUCAUGCACGAAAGCGUGGGGAGCAAACAGGAUUAGAUACCCUGGUAGUCCACGCCCUAAACGAUGUCAACUGGUUGUUGGGAAGGUUCCUUCUCAGUAACGUAGCUAACGCGUGAAGUUGACCGCCUGGGGAGUACGGCCGCAAGGUUGAAACUCAAAUGAAUUGA
rnacentral:rRNA from 1 species